GUAGAUAGAUUAAGCAAUAUAGAAUAAACGAAUUUUAAUUUACUCCAUUGUGGGAGGUCUAAUAAGUAAAUCAUGCAUUAGAUAUAAUCGAAAUUUGCAUAUAAGAUUGAAAGUUCAUCAUACGUGUAUUUAUGGUAAAGUGUUAAAUAAAGUGUUGUUAUAUAAAAUUAAAAAAUUAUACUUUAAUAACUUCCUCUUAAGUUACAUUUGGCAAAUUUAACAGCAACCUUAGCAUAAUUGAUAUCGCAAAAUAAGCUAAUUCAUUUCAUCUAUUGUGACUAUCAUAGAAAUAUUUAUAUGCUACAGUAUACAUAUACAAUAUCAAUAUCAAUCAAUACAAAAUGUAGAUUUUUAUAUAUUAACUAUCUGCUGUAUUCGAAGUUUACCAUUUUAUACAAAUAUAGAUGCAAGUGUCUUAUCAGUAAUGCGAUAAUUGGGAUGAAAGUAUUUCUACGUCGUAUCAGAUAUUGAAUAUCGAGCACAAUUGUCAAUCAGUCGACUUGCUUUAAGUGUAUUAAUUACAUCGCAUAAGAAAAUAAUUAUUUAAUUUUAAAUUAAAAGUAUGAUUUUAAGUUUUUUGGAUUUCCAAAAUGAAGUUAUUAAAAAUUAUUUACAUUGUUUCAUGUGGAAUUUGUAGUGUUAUAGUUGUUAUCAUUAUAGCAGUCAGUUUUAUAUUAUUGAGUGUAAGAGACCAUUUAAAAAAUAAUUCAACCGAGCCUACAGAUGUCCAGGAUUCUGAUGAUUUUUUACUUCUAUACCAAUAAAUCAUUCAUUAUUCUCAGUUAUGAAUAAACGUAAUAAUUCAAACUUUAUAGAACUGAAGAUAU